AAUCUGUUAAUGAAACCCCUUGUGAUGGGUUACAGCAGCAGCUGUUGCAACACCCCUCCCCCUUGUCCUACACAGGGAGGUUUCUGGUUUGAGGUUGCCCUGUGGUGGCCUCAAACUUUCUGGGAGAAUUCUAGAUUAGCUCUCAGCUUGUUGUGUGUGGUUUUGGAUGUAUAUUAUAAGCGGCUGUUGGCAUCUAUGAUGAACAGGUGUUGUGAAAUGAGCAGAACAUGAAUUUUAUUUGAAAUAAGCGGAGAGGAGAGAUACAAUCUGCUGGGUAGAGCGAUGGUCUGGAGUUGAGAAAACAAGGUGAAUUCAGUGUUUCUUUACUCAUUGCAGCAGAACAAUUUUUGCUUCUUGUAUAGCUAUUUAUUUGCUUUAUUUGUAUUUAUCUGCUUCUUGUGGCGAUAUUUACUUGAAUUGACUAGUUGGUCUUGGUUAGGUACUCAUCCAAACGGGCUAAACCACUACCUGAUUUUCACCACUGGGUUUGUGGGAGUUGGCAACAAAUGGACUCUUAGACACAGGCUUUACCAUGUGUCUAGCUCAGCAGCACUGGAGUAGGCUGUUGUAGCUGUAAGAUGGCCAAAGAAGGGGAAGAAUUUGGAAGCCCCAAGGUAAAAUUGCCUGGACCAUCUCCUUAAGGAACCCUCUCUUCUCUUGGUUGUGUAGCAAAUUCUAAAUACUACUGGGUUUGGUAAGAGCUUUGUUUCAGCUACUUCCUUGUAUGAAUCUGACCACUCACAGAAUACAUCUUGCCUUGUAAGAAUAUAGUUUCAUUAAGUGCCCACUCCUGUCCUGUGAGAAUUCUUCUGGUUUAGUAUUUUUAAUGUCUUGGGUAUUCCAUAAAUGUCAGAUAACAUAGAAAACUACCGAGGUUUGUUCUUUUCUUAAGUUCUGAGGGACAAAGUUUUGUCUUAAAGCCAUAGUCAAUCUCUAAUAAAGAUCACUGUUGUGUUUGUGGUAUUAUGCCA
rnacentral:lncRNA from 1 species